rnacentral:rRNA from 1 species
GAUGAACGCUGGCGGCGUGCCUAAUACAUGCAAGUCGAGCGAACAGACGAGGAGCUUGCUCCUCUGACGUUAGCGGCGGACGGGUGAGUAACACGUGGAUAACCUACCUAUAAUUCUGGGAUAACUUCGGGAAACCGGAUCAAAUACCGGAUAAUAUAUUGAACCGCAUGGUUCAAUAGUGAGAGACGGUUUUUGGGUCACUUAUAGAUGGAUCCGCGCCGCAUUAGAUAGUUGGUAAUGUAACGGCUUACGAAGGCAACGAGGGGUAGCCGACCUGAGUGGGUGGUCGCCCACCCUGGAGCUGAGACACCCUCCAGACUCCUAAGGGAGGCAGCAGUCGCGAAUCUUCCGCAAUGGGCGAAAGCCUGACGGAGCAACGCCGCGUGAGUGAUGAAGGUCUUCGGUUCGGAAAACUCUGUUAUUAGGGAAGAACAAAUGUGUAAGUAACUAUGCUCGUCUUGACGGUACCUAAUCAGAAAGCAACGGCUAACUACGUG